UAGGGAAUCUUCCACAAUGGACGAAAGUCUGAUGGAGCAACGCCGCGUGAGUGAAGAAGGGUUUCGGCUCGUAAAACCUCUGUUGAUAAAGAAGAACAUAUCUGAGAGUAACUGUUCAGGUAUUGACGGUAUUUAACCAGAAAGCCACGGCUAACUACGUGCCAG
rnacentral:rRNA from 1 species